rnacentral:lncRNA from 1 species
GGUGUAAUCAUGUAAGGGCUUGUUUGGUUCAUCCAUUUUGGAUAUGGAAUGGGAAUCGGUUUGAUCAAAUCCGGUUAAUUUUGUUUGGUUCGCAUGAAUCGAUUUGGGAUUCCUAUUUCGGACUGGAAUGGGAAUGGCCCAUUAGCCUUCAACUUAAUUUCGGUCUUCUAGCCCGGAUUGAGAUUUCAUUCCGGAAGCCCACUAAGUUCUCGAAGCCCAUGUGACCAUCUCACCCUCCUUCUCUUCCCCCUUUCUCAUCAAAAAAAACCUUAUCCUCUCUCAAAACCCUAUUCCUGACGCAAUCAAUAAAAGUUUUUAAAAAUAAAUUUGAUAUUUUUUUUGGAAAACUUAUUAGAGAAUAGUAUUAUAUUUUUCAUAAAUUUUAAAUAAUAUAAAUUUAUAUUUGAGAGUAAAAUUAGUAUUAUAGCAUUCUAUAAUUUUUUUAGUUUAUACGAAUCAAACAAUGAAAUGUGAAUAACUCAUUCCAAUUCCCAAUCCACAAAUAAACCAAACGUCUUGGGGGAGUGGGCCAUUCCAAUUACCAUUCCAAUUCAUUCCCAUUCCAUUAUUCAUUCCAAUUCCACCAUUGAACCAAACAAGCCCUAAGAGACAAUGCAAAAGAUCAUUGGGAAGAUUA